GACGUUCCCAGCUUCCUCUUCACUGCUGAUAACUAAGAAUCUUGCUGCAGUGGAAAAAGGCAAGGAUGAAGAGAUGAAGAAACAGGUGGGAAAAGGAAGAGGAAAGAACAAACAGAUGUUACGGCGUACAUUAAGCAGCUUGCUUUCCCUUGUUGAAUGCAACUCUGAAAUGGAGGCUGAAAUGUGUCUUGCAAGUCCUGUUGUGUGACCUACAAAGGGAAAUUGAUUAAGCUAGACAUCGACAUUUACACAGACAAAGUAAGAUAAUACAUUCUUACAAUACAAUCCUAAGUUUUCUGGAUUAAGAGCUAACUCCUUCAUAGUAGACAAGCCUAGUGAAGAUUCAUUUGGUCUCUUCAUGAGAAAUAUGUGCGUUAUAUAUUGAUUUAUAAGUCAGUAAGUAAUGCAUGCCUAAGUGGUGA